UAAACUCAUUUGCACUGGCUGCUCUAAAGCGUCAACUGUCACCCUGUUCUUCGCUGGAUUCCUUCUGAGUCUUGCCAGGAUUCACUAUUAAUCAGAAGCUGGCCAUUUUGAACUGCCAUCCUUCAUCAGUCAAACACAGAUCUAAUGGAGAGAGCAAGCCCAGAUUUGAGGGUGUCAGAGCCCCCUCCACAAGACCUCGGCAUUUCCGAAGGCCUCAGAACAAGCCCCCUAAACACAGAGGCUCUUGAGGAUUUUGCUCAAAAUAUGUCAGAGAACAUAAUUCAAUCAGUUGUUACCCAAAAGGAAAGAGUUGCACCUGAGGUGUCCAUUUAUAAUAAAGACCAGGAAAUGCUAGCUGAGGCGCUAGCAUCUGCAGUGAUGGAGAUUGCUCUGAGUGAAGUGUCUAGAGGUCAAAACCACAUGGAGGGUGCUGAGGUAGAGAUGGAGAAUGGCAAGGGUGAAGAGCGAGAAUUGUUGGACACAGCGAUGCAUCGAGUUAAGGAAUACCAUUCUUCUACCCAGCCUUAUCAUCCACCUCUGUCCCAGUCAGGGCUUCCCGCUGUGGGAUCCCUCGACUACCCCGACGCCCCACCGACCACCCCUCUUGUCCCAGAGCUGGAGAGGAGCAGGAGCAGCUUUGCCCGAAAGCUAAAAGGAGGCUUGGCAAAGGUUUUCCUACCCUCACCUCCUCCGCCAACACCCAAGGAAAAGAGGACAACGCAGAUGGUUCGAUCAGUGAUCCUCAUGUGGAACUGAUGGAACAUCUCAUGCAGUCACUGUCUACAGAUGAGUUGGCAAGAGACAGUUUCGAAGUAGCACCUCUGCACGAACCGACUAUAGAGGCUUUCGCAGAGGCGCUGUCAAGCGAUAUCACUAACCUGGUUCUGGCCGCCACAAAAAGAGAACAGAUAUCACAUGAUAGUAAUCUUCACCUGCUGGCCCACCAGCUGUCUGAAACCAUCAUAACCUCCUCAAUUAAUGAAACUAAAAUGCUGUCUAGGAUCUAAAGGGGUCAUAUAUAAUGAACAGCCUGUAUAUAUGCAUACAGAACUUCCAUCCAUGGACUGUGUAUAAAAGAUGGACAUAGACAAUAUCGUGUAAUUAAUGAGGUCAUGAUCUGACUGUGAAACCAAGGACACAGCACACUUUAUGGUAAACAGCUUAUGACUGAUGAGUCAUUAACCAAUGAAAAUAUCCUGGUGUGUCCUCCUUUCUGACUCAAAUAAUGAGUAAAAUUGCUAAAAGACUUUCAUGCUGUGUACAGUAUGACCCGAAAAUAGUGACUGAGCCUUUAAAGUUACCAGGAAAGUAUUUAGAGAGUGUUGAAGCUGAGAACAGUUUUCCGAUAGAAUUCUGCACAACCUUUCAAACACAGAUCACAGUGAGUCCACAGCCAAGCCAAUACUUCUGCAAACUGAAGCCAAUGCAAGAAGCUAAGUCCAUCACUUAUACACAGUCUGUGGUUAUAUUCAUAUUAUAUUAAUGCUAUUUAUUAGUAGUAAUAUAUUGUUAUGAGUCCUGCUGUGUAUUAGUUUGUGUUUGUUCUUUAGAAACAAACUUCUCAGUGAGGUUUAGCAGCAUUUGUGUAUUCUGAAAACUGUUGGAUGAAAACUGUUACAUUUCGAGCUGGAUUAAAAGUACACUGGCUCUGAAUGGUAUUUUAUUAAUUUCUUUAAAGACAAAAAUGACACUGGGCUCCAAAAGCAAUAACCAUAUAUGUCCUUUGGAUGGCAGCACAGGAAAGAUAUUACUGCAUGUUUUCAGCAUGAGCUCAGCAAUAGUGACCUACUUGGAACAUGACAACAAUUGGGGUUAUUCUGUUUUCCUUUUAGGAAAUAAAUUAGCUUUAAAUGGUGGUCACUUCUCAGUGUGAAUUGUCUUGUUUUGCUUGAAUUUGCUUCUUUGGUCAGGUCCUGCUAAAUAUAAUGCCUGGUAUAAAGACUAAAUCCAUUGCAGACUGCUACAGCUGUAACAGAAGAUGAAACUGGUCAACAGAUGUUUUGUAGAUGAACUCGCAUCACACUGAAUCAUAAUCAAAUGUAACAUUGGCAAAUUGUUUAGUUAGCUCUCCUUGUAAUCAGCCUCAAAAUCUUUAUUUAUCCAGUAUGAUUCAUUCAGCCCGUACGCUAAGCAAUGAUGCUGGCAUUUUGGACAAAUUUGCAUUCUGGCUCGGUUAAAGCUCUUUUUCAUACUCACUUAGUUGUUGAAGUGAGAUCUGGGGAAAAGAAAGAGGGAGCCACAGGUCUUAACCAAAUACUGAUGUGAUCCUGGAAUGAAAUAAAAAACCCUGUUUUUCUUCACUAACUACUUAAACGUAGUUGGAGGUUGCCAGAUUUACUCAAAGUAAACCUUUUAAAGAGCUGUUUUGAAUAAACAGUUUUACUGUCCUUCUUAGUCAUCGCUGUCUCUGUUCACACACUUCUUAGGUUAAAGAAACUAGGUAAUCGAGACAGACACACACACACACACACACACGUAUGGACU